CAUCAAUAAAUCUGAUAUAUAGGUUCGAAUGCAAUGAUUCAAUUAUAACUAAAUGUACAUUGGUAAAAAUACUAAUGAUAAAUGAAAUGAAAGGUAUUAAAAUGUUACCUGAAAAAAAUUCAGUAACCACAAGUAUAAACAAAACUCAAGGAAACUGUAACUGCUAUUAACUGUUAAUUAAUUGAUCACAUCCAUGUGAACAUAGCUUUAUUAUAAAGCACAUAAAAUAUGGACAUACUUUACGAUACAAUAAUGAAUUAAUUAAACCAACUUAAAUUUUCAUUCUUUUUACGCCAAAGUUUAGUGUCUACAUUCAUUUACAUAGAAAGAUAUUUCGUAAAAAAAGAGCUAAAUGCAUUUCUGAUUCCAACUUUUUUUAUUUAAAUUAAAAAACGAUUUAUCCACAUUAUGACAAAUGAUGAUAUUUAAUAGCUCUUAGUUAGAUGUGUUCACUGAAUUGCCUCUUAUUGCAAAACAAUUAUCAUAAAGGAACAUUUCAUACAGAUAUAAGGAAAAUGAUUUGAUAAUAGAUUGUUAUCGAGUGAGAUAAUGACUGCUAAAAAUACAAUGAUAACUUUUACAAUCUGGGCUGGUUCAUAUCGAAGUACAACAACACAUCAGAUAUACUUUAUUAAAUGAAGGAGUAUGUUUGGUAAGGCCAUAUUUGGUUCCAAAUAUUAGCUCAUUUUUGCAAGAUUAAAGUGUUUCAAGUUGAUGAACAGACAUGUAAGAAAGUGAAAUAUACUAUUUUUGUCAAGUAUUUUUAAAUUAAGCAUUGACCAAGUAUAGGAAUGAGGAGGUUUUUUAUGAGAUUUGACCAACUUGCUGGAUUUCAAAUACAUUUCAGGCCAGGACUACUAAAACCAGCAAUCUAUCCAGGCCUCUACAUUAACAUUUUUUCUAACUUGUCCCUUCGGACAAGUGGCAAGAAAAUCAGCUUGUCCGAACUCUUAACUCACUUGUCCGAAUUCAUAAUUGAAAAUCUAACAUAUUGAUGAUUUAUGCAAUAAUAACACUUGGGCUUUGAUUGUACCUAAUAAAAGGAGCAUUUUGUAAUGUUAUAUGAAUACCGCAUCAAAAUACAUUUCAUUAUUUCAGAAUGAAAGUUUUUUUGCAAGACUGUGUUCUCUGACUCAAUGUC
rnacentral:lncRNA from 1 species